GCGCUGCUGAAGAGCCCCACAACAGGACGAAAUGGCCAUCCAGUGC
rnacentral:hammerhead_ribozyme from 1 species